rnacentral:rRNA from 1 species
AUUGAACGCUGGCGGCAUGCUUUACACAUGCAAGUCGAACGGUAACAGGCCGCAAGGUGCUGACGAGUGGCGAACGGGUGAGUAAUGCAUCGGAACGUGCCCAGUCGUGGGGGAUAACGCAGCGAAAGCUGUGCUAAUACCGCAUACGAUCUAUGGAUGAAAGCGGGGGACCGUAAGGCCUCGCGCGAUUGGAGCGGCCGAUGGCAGAUUAGGUAGUUGGUGGGAUAAAAGCUUACCAAGCCGACGAUCUGUAGCUGGUCUGAGAGGACGACCAGCCACACUGGAACUGAGACACGGUCCAGACUCCUACGGGAGGCAGCAGUGGGGAAUUUUGGACAAUGGACGCAAGUCUGAUCCAGCCAUUCCGCGUGCAGGAUGAAGGCCCUCGGGUUGUAAACUGCUUUGUACGACGAAAAGGUUUCUAUUAAUACUAGGAGCUCAUGACGGUACCGUAAGAAUAAGCACCGGCUAACUACGUGCCAG